rnacentral:rRNA from 1 species
UACGAAGGGUGCAAGCGUUACUCGGAAUCACUGGGCGUAAAGCGUGCGUAGGCGGUUCGUUAAGUCUGCUGUGAAAGCCCUGGGCUCAACCUGGGAACUGCAGUGGAUACUGGCGGACUAGAGUGUGAUAGAGGAUGGUGGAAUUCCCGGUGUAGCGGUGAAAUGCGUAGAGAUCGGGAGGAACACCAGUGGCGAAGGCGGCCAUCUGGAUCAACACUGACGCUGAGGCACGAAAGCGUGGGAGCAAACAGGG